rnacentral:rRNA from 1 species
GGAUCGCCCUUUCCGUAGGUGAACCUGCGGAAGGAUCAUUAAUGAAUUUUUAGGGCGCUCUUUUUAGAGGUCCGACCAAUUUCAUUUCCACACACCGUGAACACACUUCAUUUUUACACACAAUUUAUAAACACACAAGUCUAUAAGAAUGUAUAAAGUCUCUUAAUUGAGCAUAAAGUUAUAAUACAACUUUCGGCAACGGAUCUCUUGGCUCUCGCAUCGAUGAAGAACGCAGCGAAAUGCGAUACGUAAUGUGAAUUGCAGAAUUCAGUGAAUCAUCGAAUCUUUGAACGCACCUUGCACUCUUUGGUAUUCCGAAGAGUAUGUCUGUUUGAGUGUCAUGAAACUCUCAACCCCCUUGUUUUGUAACGAAGCAGGCGUGGGCUUGGAUUAUGGCUGUCUGCUGGACUCUUUAACUAGAGAUCGGCUCGGCUGAAAUAUACGAGUAACCCAGUUUGAACAUUAACGGCUUGACUCGGCGUAAUAGCUUUAUUUCGCUGAGGACGUUUCAUAUCAAGAUAGUGGUGCUUCUAAUGCGUCGUAGCGUCAGCUGCACAACCUUUAAGCUUUAGACCUCAAAUCAGUCAGGACUACCCGCUGAACUUAAGCAUAUCAAUAAGCGGAGGAAAGGGCGAUCCC